rnacentral:lncRNA from 1 species
UUUAUUACAUAGCGGAAGUCUUACAAAAUAAAAGAUAAAUAAAAAAGGAUCUAAAAUCCAUCCUUGGCGCCAGAAAAGUCAACUCGGAGACGCCACCUAUAUCGAAUCGAACUCCUCAAUGUGCGGCUCCACUUGAACCACCUAUUCUUCUCCUGUGGGGGUGUGAGACAGCAAUGGUGAGCUCACACAUGUUCAUCGCUCAACAAGUUGUGGGGAAUAACGUGGUAUGAACUCACCAAAGGUGGGAGUUCAUGUGAAGUGUAAGGUUGAUCAACAAAAUAAAGGUUGAAGCUGAGCAUUGAUUUUAUAAGUUGGUCAAAAUUUUAUUAACAAUUACUACGUAUAAGUAAAUACCAAACCUUAGUAGUAAUAAUUAAAAGUAAUAAUAAAAUAAUCCCAAUGCGAUGCAAAUGACAAAUUGAGUUUUAAUUCCAUAGAUUAAUCAUGUGAGGGUCCGAGCUGCUCGUGACCAUGAGCACGGCUAGUAUACCAGUUUUACACUCUGUAGAGGUUGCACAUCUUUACCCACAAGUCAUGUAGCCCAUCUGCCAAGGGGUCAUGAAUCUCAUACACCUCUACCAAGGAAGCGGGGCAGGGUAACACUAUGAGGCCUUUACAAAGUUCCACUAGCUUCAGGAAAACCCGCUACAGUUUAUAGGAAGCUCCAGUGCAGGAAUCCCUCGCCUGACCGCCAUUGCAGCAAAAUCAACCCAAAAACCUCCCUACACUGACCACUCCCCUACUGCCCUUGCCCCUUUCGGGUAAGGUAGUCAUCCACUAGCUUUCCUAAUUAAUCAGCCAAGGGCGUUCCAUUAAACCCUUGUGGUAGCACUGUUUUCCCGAGUGGUCGCUCCAUGUUCCAAUUAACAUAAUGAUCUUAUCAUGAACAUAAAUAACAUAACAAAAUAAUUGGAACAUAGAUAUAAUGAAAUAUUAUCCCAAAACCUUGUAAAGCAAUAGCAUAGCUACCCAAAUGAUUCAGGGGUGAACAAGGUAAAAAGGAUAAACUGUCUAAGGUGACCUAUUGGGUCCCAUCAAAAUUAAACAUAUGCAUUGAAUAGUGAUAAUAAAGAAUAUUAUUGGGUAACAAAUGUGAUUAAGGGCACAACUUGCCUGACACUUGAGAUUCUAGGUACCAGGAUGAUUCUUUAGAUCCUUGUGACCGCACUGCUAGUCGUAGAAAUACAAACAAAUAUGGUAUAGACAAAAUCAACAUCACACCAAACAUAAGAACAUAUUGCAUAAUAAUGAUCUACGCGUUGCUACGAGAUCGUGGGAACGAGAACCACUAAUACCGGAGAUACGGGUAAGGAGUUAUGAUUUUAUGGAGGAUUUAUGUGAUUAAAAUAUUAGACUAUUAUAAAUUGAUUAAUAUAAAUCAUAUGAGAGUUUAUUCUAUAAAUAAUUAUCUUAACUUUAAUCUAAGUUAUGAAUUGACCAUAGAUCAUCUUCUAGUAGAUUAUAAUGAUAAGUAGAUUAACCAGACUAACCCACAUAAAUUAAAUAAAGAUCUAAUUAGAAAAGAAUGAGACGUGGUAUAAUAAAUGUUGUUACUGUGUGGUAAAUAUUUAUAUGAAGCUAACGCAACUGGAACGAUUCAAAUCGGAAUUAGAAUGGGGAAGUUAUGAAUUUCUAAUGAUUUUGUGUUUUGCAGAGAUUAAAUAGGAUAUAAAUUUUAAUAUGACUUUCAUGUGAAAAUAGUGGUACUAGGUAAUAAACCAUAAUAUUACAAAAUUAUAGGAACUUGAAUGGACUAAAAAAGAGUUAGUAUGAAUUUUCUAUGAAUAAAAUGAGUUUUUGGAAUUACUUAUAUACUAAAAUCAUUUUCUAUAAUUAUAUAUUUAUUUUCUCUACUCCCUUGAUUGCGACCUAAAAUCUGUGAAGUGCAUGGGUCUCGGUGUAAUAAUUCCAAGACACAUGAUAUAACCUAGGUGCACGGCGGGUUGGUAAUGGAAAAGCCGAGGGGCUCUUAUGCGAAAUUGCCAUGCCGAAGGGAUCUAAGAUGGAGGGCUCGGAUUAAAUCUGCAUAUGCGCUGAACGGUACGCGAUCGUGGUCGUCGGAUUCGCGAUCUACAGUCGUUAAUUAAUGAGGCGAAGGGGUAAGUUGUUCUAAUCCCGCGCGUUCAUCCGCAAAUCAACGGCCACCGAUCAACUAUCGCCAGAUCCGAUCGGAGCCGUGUAUCCAAGAUCUAACGGUCGAGCGCUCACCCCCAUCUAACCCAACGGCCGCGACCCUAUUAUCCGGUUGCCAAAUUACGGCGGCGCAGCACCUAGCGAGGUGGUGCCAUUGCCGGCCACCACCCCGAGCUACAGCCGGUGCACGAAAUUCCAUCCGAGCUAGUGCCAUACGAGGAGUAGGGCAACGCGAGCAGCAUAGAGAGGUUCUUACUAGCGAUUUCGGAACAGAGACACCCGUCCACGGAGAGUUGCGGCUAGGUAGUGGGGACGAAUUCCGGCGAGCAAUUCGCACCAACCCCACCACCAAAUGGGCCCGUCACCGCCACGCAUCCGUUCGGCUUGAUCACGCGAUGCUUCUUGAAUACCGAAUUAGAGCCUAACGCUGGUGAAUCGGGGAUUUCGUUUCCCCGCGGCGGAUUUGCUCCCGGCAAUGGCGUGCCCCGGACGGAUGAACGAAGGAAGGAGAGGAUGCGGCGCGCGGCGAAGGGGCAUGGAAGUCGGAUUGGUAGUACGGCGCCGUGCGGAGCACGAGAAGCGUUGCCAUUGCAGGUGAGCUUCUGGAAGCUUGGGAAUGGCGGAU